rnacentral:rRNA from 1 species
GAUGAACGCUGGCGGCGUGCUUAACACAUGCAAGUCGAACGGUGAAGCAGAGCUUGCUCUGUGGAUCAGUGGCGAACGGGUGAGUAACACGUCAGCAACCUGCCCCUGACUCUGGGAUAAGCGCUGGAAACGGCGUCUAAUACUGGAUCUGAGCUGCGACCGCAUGGUCAGCAGUUGGAAAGAUUUUUCGGUCUGGGAUGGGCUCACGGCGUAUCAGCUUGUUGGUGAGGUAAUGGCGCACCACGGCGUCGACGGGUAGCCGGCCUGAGAGGGUGACCGGCCACACUGGGACUGAGACACGGCCCAGACUCCUACGGGAGGCAGCAGGGGGGAAUAUUGCACAAUGGGCGAAAGCCUGAUGCAGCAACGCCGCGUGAGGGAUGACGGCCUUCGGGUUGUAAACCUCUUUUAGCAAGGAAGAAGCGAAAGUGACGGUACCUGCAGAAAAAGCGCCGGCUAACUACGUG